AGAGUGGCGGACGGGUGAGUAACGCGUAGGAAUCUGCCCAGUAGUGGGGGACAACUCGGGGAAACCCGAGCUAAUACCGCAUACGCCCUACGGGGGAAAGGGGGCCUCUUCUUGAAAGCUCUCGCUACUGGAUGAGCCUGCGUCGGAUUAGCUAGUUGGUGGGGUAAAGGCCCACCAAGGCGACGAUCCGUAGCUGGUCUGAGAGGACGACCAGCCACACUGGGACUGAGACACGGCCCAG
rnacentral:rRNA from 1 species